CCUACGGGUGGCAGCAGUGAGGAAUAUUGGUCAAUGGGCGCGAGCCUGAACCAGCCAAGUAGCGUGAAGGAUGACUGCCCUACGGGUUGUAAACUUCUUUUAUAAAGGAAUAAAGUGAGGCACGUGUGCCUUUUUGUAUGUACUUUAUGAAUAAGGAUCGGCUAACUCCGUGCCAGCAGCCGCGGUAAUACGGAGGAUCCGAGCGUUAUCCGGAUUUAUUGGGUUUAAAGGGAGCGUCGAUGGGUUGUUAAGUCAGUUGUGAAAGUUUGCGGCUCAACCGUAAAAUUGCAAUUGAUACUGGCAGCCUUGAGUACAGUUGAGGUAGGCGGAAUGCGUGGUGUAGCGGUGAAAUGCAUAGAUAUCACGCAGAACUCCGAUUGCGAAGGCAGCUUACUAAACUAUAACUGACACUGAAGCACGAAAGCGUGGGGAUCAAACAGGAUUAGAUACCCUGGUAGUC
rnacentral:rRNA from 1 species